GGGGAAUAUUGCACAAUGGGCGCAAGCCUGAUGCAGCCAUGCCGCGUGUAUGAAGAAGGCCUUCGGGUUGUAAAGUACUUUCAGCGAGGAGGAAGGSGAUGUGGUUAAUAACCGCAUUCAUUGACGUUACUCGCAGAAGAAGCACCGGCUAACUCCGUGCCAGCAGCCGCGGUAAUACGGAGGGUGCAAGCGUUAAUCGGAAUUACUGGGCGUAAAGCGCACGCAGGCGGUCUGUCAAGUCGGAUGUGAAAUCCCCGGGCUCAACCUGGGAACUGCAUMCGAAACUGGCAGGCUAGAGUCUUGUAGAGGGGGGUAGAAUUCCAGGUGUAGCGGUGAAAUGCGUAGAGAUCUGGAGGAAUACCGGUGGCGAAGGCGGCCCCCUGGACAAAGACUGACGCUCAGGUGCGAAAGCGUGGGGAGCAAACAGGAUUAGAUACC
rnacentral:rRNA from 1 species